rnacentral:rRNA from 1 species
GGGUCUAAUACCGGAUAGGACUGCGCGGUGCAUGCCGUGUGGUGGAAAGAUUUAUCGGUGCAGGAUGGGCCCGCGGCCUAUCAGCUUGUUGGUGGGGUAAUGGCCUACCAAGGCGACGACGGGUAGCCGGCCUGAGAGGGCGACCGGCCACACUGGGACUGAGACACGGCCCAGACUCCUACGGGAGGCAGCAGUGGGGAAUAUUGCACAAUGGGCGCAAGCCUGAUGCAGCGACGCCGCGUGAGGGAUGACGGCCUUCGGGUUGUAAACCUCUUUCAGCAGGGACGAAGCGUGAGUGACGGUACCUGCAGAAGAAGCACCGGCCAACUACGUGCCAGCAGCCGCGGUAAUACGUAGGGUGCAAGCGUUGUCCGGAAUUACUGGGCGUAAAGAGCUCGUAGGCGGUUUGUCGCGUCGUCUGUGAAAACCAGCAGCUCAACUGUUGGCUUGCAGGCGAUACGGGCAGACUUGAGUAUUUCAGGGGAGACUGGAAUUCCUGGUGUAGCGGUGAAAUGCGCAGAUAUCAGGAGGAACACCGGUGGCGAAGGCGGGUCUCUGGGAAAUAACUGACGCUGAGGAGCGAAAGCGUGGGUAGCGAACAGGAUUAGAUACCCUGGUAGUCCACGCCGUAAACGGUGGGCGCUAGGUGUGGGUUUCCUUCCACGGGAUC